rnacentral:rRNA from 1 species
CAAGUCGAACGGCAGCACGGGAGCAAUCCUGGUGGCGAGUGGCGAACGGGUGAGUAAUAUAUCGGAACGUGCCCAGUCGUGGGGGAUAACGCAGCGAAAGCUGUGCUAAUACCGCAUACGAUCUAUGGAUGAAAGCGGGGGAUCGCAAGACCUCGCGCGAUUGGAGCGGCCGAUAUCAGAUUAGCUAGUUGGUGGGGUAAAAGCCCACCAAGGCGACGAUCUGUAGCUGGUCUGAGAGGACGACCAGCCACACUGGAACUGAGACACGGUCCAGACUCCUACGGGAGGCAGCAGUGGGGAAUUUUGGACAAUGGGCGCAAGCCUGAUCCAGCAAUGCCGCGUGCAGGAUGAAGGCCUUCGGGUUGUAAACUGCUUUUGUACGGAACGAAACGGCGAGCUCUAAUAAAGCUUGCUAAUGACGGUACCGUAAGAAUAAGCACCGGCUAACUACGUGCCAGCAGCCGCGGUAAUACGUAGGGUGCAAGCGUUAAUCGGAAUUACUGGGCGUAAAGCGUGCGCAGGCGGUUAUAUAAGACAGAUGUGAAAUCCCCGGGCUCAACCUGGGACCUGCAUUUGUGACUGUAUAGCUAGAGUACGGUAGAGGGGGAUGGAAUUCCGCGUGUAGCAGUGAAAUGCGUAGAUAUGCGGAGGAACACCGAUGGCGAAGGCAAUCCCCUGGACCUGUACUGACGCUCAUGCACGAAAGCGUGGGGAGCAAACAGGAUUAGAUACCCUGGUAGUCCACGCCCUAAACGAUGUCAACUGGUUGUUGGGUCUUCACUGACUCAGUAACGAAGCUAACGCG